GGUUGUGGCUCAGUGGUAGAGCGCUUGCCUACCGUGUGUGAGGCACUGGGUUCGAUUCUUAGCACAUAAUCU
rnacentral:tRNA from 1 species